rnacentral:rRNA from 1 species
GACGAACCGUGCGAACGUUAUUCGGAAUCACUGGGCUUAAAGGGCGCGUAGGCGGGCCACCAAGUCAGGGGUGAAAUCCCACGGCUCAACCGUGGAAGUGCCCUUGAUACUGGUGGCCUCGAGGGAGGCAGGGGCGUGCGGAACUUUGGGUGGAGCGGUGAAAUGCGUAGAUAUCCAAAGGAACACCGGUGGCGAAAGCGGCGCGCUGGACCUCUUCUGACGCUGAGGCGCGAAAGCCAGGGGAGCAAACGGG